CAGUCGCCACGGGAAUACGAGGGGAGCUAGCGUUAUUCGGAAUUACUGGGCGUAAAGCGCACGUAGGCGGCUUUGUAAGUUAGAGGUGAAAGCCCAGAGCUCAACUCUGGAAUUGCCUUUAAGACUGCAUCGCUUGAAUCCAGGAGAGGUGAGUGGAACUCCGAGUGUAGAGGUGAAAUUCGUAGAUAUUCGGAAGAACACCAGUGGCGAAGGCGGCUCACUGGACUGGUAUUGACGCUGAGGUGCGAAAGCGUGGGGAGCAAACAGGAUUAGAUACCCCGGUAGUCCCUGUCUCUUAUAC
rnacentral:rRNA from 1 species